AUGGAAGCGCUGACUUCUGAUACCGGAGAUUUGCAUAAGGGCCCUAUAAAUAGGGGAGUAAUCGCAUUAUCCGUCACUCCGCUGUGACCGAGCAGGUACGGAGCUGCAGCCAUGCCCGAGCCGGCCAAGUCCGCCCCCGCGCCCAAGAAGGGCUCGAAGAAGGCGGUGACCAAGACGCAGAAGAAGGGCGACAAGAAGCGCAAGAAGAGCCGCAAGGAGAGCUACUCGAUCUACGUGUACAAGGUGCUGAAGCAGGUGCACCCCGACACGGGCAUCUCGUCCAAGGCCAUGGGCAUCAUGAACUCGUUCGUCAACGACAUCUUCGAGCGCAUCGCGGGCGAGGCGUCGCGCCUGGCGCACUACAACAAGCGCUCCACCAUCACGUCGCGGGAGAUCCAGACGGCCGUGCGCCUGCUGCUGCCCGGGGAGCUGGCCAAGCACGCGGUCUCAGAGGGCACCAAGGCUGUCACCAAGUACACCAGCUCCAAGUAGGGCGUCUCGGACCGUCGUUUUUAACCCAAAGGCUCUUUUAAGAGCCACCAAUUAUUUCAAUAAAAGAGCUGAAUCAGU